AUUGAACGCUGGCGGCAGGCCUAACACAUGCAAGUCGAACGAGUGGCGGACGGGUGAGUAAUGUCUGGGAAACUGCCCGAUGGAGGGGGAUAACUACUGGAAACGGUAGCUAAUACCGCAUACCAUCGGAUGUGCCCAGAUGGGAUUAGCUUGUAGGUGAGGUAACGGCUCACCUAGGCGACGAUCCCUAGCUGGUCUGGGAGGAUGACCAGCCACAUGGGAACUGAGACAGUGUCCAGACUCCGACGGGAGGCAGCAGUGGGGAAUAGUGGACAAUGGGCUCAAGCCUGAUGCAGCCAUGCCGCGUGUACGAAGAAGGCCUUCGGGUUGUAAAGUACUUUCAGCGGGGAGGCGUUACCCGCAGAAGAAGCACCGGCUAACUCCGUGCCAGCAGCCGCGGUAAUAC
rnacentral:rRNA from 1 species